ACCAGUUCAUGUGACUCUGCAGCAGAGGCCAUGAUGCCUGGAAGACAGGAAGUGGCCCGCACGCAAUCUCAGACACUUGCUGGGCAGGCGCGCUGCUCUGUGCUGCCGUUUCUGCUCUCCACGUGUUGUUCACAGAGCUACUCCCUCGCCUUCAGCCUCACAGGGACCCCCUCCGAGGCUGAGUCUUCCCCAGCUCUUGACCCCUUUCCUAGCCCAGAUGACCUCCUGCUGCUACAGCAUAGCAGAUUUGUCAAGUAAAAAGCCAAAAUCGACUGGUUUUCUUGGCAUUUCUGCUUUUACAGGCAUAAUUCUCGAGACAACAAGAAUGACCGUGACUAUAACGGCCAGGAGCAAGCAUGUGCAGACGAGAAAAGCACACCCAAAUUUUUUUCUCUCUACAGGCCAAAAAAUCCAGAGAGUUCUCAGACAACCUUCAGUGAAUUCUACCCCGUUCCAUAGCCCAAGGGCUCUAUCUGCAAGUCUUCUGGAGACACAGCGAGAUUACGUUCCCCACUGGCUCAGGCUGUCGGGAACUGCCAUCACAGUCUCCUGUGUCAGACUUCACCCUACCUGCCAAUCCGCCACGUUCAAAGUCCUCUGGAGAGAAUUCUAUCACCUGGGGGACAGUGGAGCCACAAAGUGGAGGACUUGAUGCCUGAGUCAUCAUGUGGAAGGCUGCCUGCCAAAUACCACAGUGAACUCCAGGAUAAGUAAAAUUUCUAGUAUGUGAAACCACUGAAAUUGUGGGGUUUUUAUUGGUAAACGCUGCCAUACCUAGACUGUACAUGUCAGGACAGGGCUAUGUUACAGUUACAUACAACACCAAAAUCUCAUUAUAACAAAAAUGCAUUUCUUGUUUUUGAUACACCAUCAAGAACACUAUACUCCGUGAACAGCUAUCUACUCAGGGAGCGAGGCUGAUAAAAGUUCCCUCCUGACUUCUGUUUCCGAGAUCACCACGGACUGGGAAAGAACGUGGUAAAUGAUACAUCAGCUUUGAAGGUUCGUGUGCAUACGUGACACGUCACUUCUGCUUACGUUUCAAAGAAAUGGUCAUGCUUAUCUUUAAAAAGAGCAAAGAACCGCAAUCCUCCUUUGUGCCACAAAAGGGAAAAUCCAGACACAUUGGCGAAUGAGAGCGAGGGCUACCGUGUGAAUCGACGUUGGUGCCUGGAAGAAAGGCACUGCCAUACAGACACUUAAAAUACGUCGUACAGAACAAGUCAUUGGGCAGCAGGCUGGUCAGCGGGACAGCCCUUCUGUACCCUGGUAACAUAUUUAGUAAAUCCGUCCCCAGUGGGACGUAGAAGGUAGACCAGGAGCCCAGUGAGACUCUAACUCAAUGGGAAGUAGAUGGAGGCAGUGACGUGUGUUAGAUACUGUUAUCUGCCUUUAGCAAGAUACCGUAAGUGACAGCUCAGAGGAGAACUGUUUGGUUUUCUAGAAGACACAGAAAGGUAUUAAGGAAUUCUGAUCCAGGUCCUUUUAGGGUUAGAAAAGCGGACUGUCCCUAGACCCUCAGUAACAAGACUGUAAAGUGUUAAGUGACAAAGUUACUAAAAGAUCGCUGAUUUAAAAAAAGAAAUGACACAAUUUUUCCGCAAAGAUGAGAUUAAGGGUUCUAAGCUUAGUGUUUCAGAGAGCAGUCAGAUAGUCCUUAGUCGAGAGAGAGGGGCACACACGUGAGGAGGCAAAAAGAUACAUCGUCCUUGAGAGUUUUAUACAGGAAGGAGCUCGAGUGCAGAAUUUACAAUACGGGAACCAGAAGCACAUAUAGCAAAAAGGUCACCUUUUAAAGGUAAUUGUUAAUUGUUAAGGAAACCAUGGGCAUGGAUAAAAAGAAGACUUUGAUCCUUAAAACAAGCAAUCCCUCCGAGUGUCCCUGCAGGAAGCCCGGAUAACUUAUCUUUCUGGUUUACAGGUUGCGGCUGGACCACAAGGAGCCAUGUUUCAUACCGGAUACAAGACCGUGUAUCGCGUGGAGAUCUUAGAUCCUUUUCUCUAGUCAGGGCCUGCCCCAGAUGUGUUUCCAUCGACUCUUAGCCCCAUUCCAGGCAAGAUCAUUCAACACACAACAAGAGUGACUUUCCCUCGUUGCAGGGAGCAAGUUUCUUACUGGUGUAAAAUCGCAAAUUCCGUAUUUUUUAGAUGUCUUUAGGGACUAUGGGUGCCAAGGUAAUACUUGCAAAAUGGGACUUGCAACUUGCUCUCUUAUCCUUUAAAUGUGUCUGGAGCUACCCUGCUGAGUAAAAGGAGGCUGCUAAUUUUGUGAUGUUCUAUUCUCAUAGCAACCGGCGGUGACGUCAGAGGGCUAUUUUAUCACAGAAGCUAUCCAAAAAAAGAAGGAGACAGUCCUGGCUUCCUUGCGCUUUACGCAACAAUCAUUUCACAUCGAUAAAAAUGGAAACAGGAAAUAAAAGACUCUAAUAGCUUA